UGGGGAAUCUUGGACAAUGGGCGCAAGCCUGAUCCAGCCAUGCCGCGUGGAUGAUGAAGGCCUUAGGGUUGUAAAAUCCUUUCGCCGAGGACGAUAAUGACGGUACUCGGAGAAGAAGCUCCGGCUAACUUCGUGCCAGCAGCCGCGGUAAUACGAAGGGGGCUAGCGUUGUUCGGAUUUACUGGGCGUAAAGCGCGUGUAGGCGGGUCGUUAAGUUGGGGGUGAAAUCCCGAGGCUCAACCUCGGAACUGCCUUCAAAACUGGCGACCUGGACCUAAGUAGAGGCAAGUGGAAUUGCGAGUGUAGAGGUGAAAUUCGUAGAUAUUCGCAGGAACACCAGUGGCGAAGGCGACUUGCUGGACUUAUGGUGACGCUGAGACGCGAAAGCGUGGGGAGCAAACAGGAUUAGAUACCCCGGUAGUCCCUGAGCGGGCUGGCAAGGCGCAU
rnacentral:rRNA from 1 species